rnacentral:tRNA from 1 species
AGCCCCGUGGUGUAUAAGCUCAUUGAAUUGCAAAUUCAAAGGUGCGGGUAAUUCCUUGCCGGGGCUU